ensembl:misc_RNA
AAAAGGAGACAGAAGAUUGAAGCUCUUGCUAGCCAUUCAUUUCCUUUUUGCUCUCUACCCACCUCACCUGGGAACCUUUAUCUGUGCAAUAUGUGUACUGUGUCACACUGGUGAUUAUAAUGGAGGCUAGGAGUGCUGACCAACAGAGAGGAAAGCAGUGUUAUGACUGUAGUGACAUAGGAGUUCAGUUCACACCAAACAUCUUUCAAGCAUGUUUCCAGUUUCUCCAUUUAGAAACAUCCUAGCACUUACAGCCUUUCAGUACAAGCCCAAUACUAGCUUUUUCCAUUUGUAUUUCAUUUCUCUCGACUCUCUUAUUCGUAUUCUGUGGUCCAC